CAAAUGAGUUAUUAUGUUAUUAUGAGUUCAAAUGAGUUAUUAUGUUAUUAUGAUUAUGAUUAUGAAUUAUGAGUUAUUAUGUUAUCAAAUGAGUUAUUACAUUAUUAUGAGUUAUUAAUCCUUAUAAAGGCUUAAAUUACUUUCCUAAAAUCUAAUCCUGUUAAAUUGGAUAUUGUUAAAACUUUUUCUGAUGCUUUUUUUCUUUAAGGAUAAACACAUUUGGCGAUGCAGCAGCUGUAAGAAGACAAAGACACGAAGUGGUUUUUUUGAAUGUUCAACAUCUUUAAGUAGCGAAUACUCGAAUUUUCUCAAAUGAUCACAUACUGUGUUACACUGAUGACAAGAAGAUACACAUACUUAUGAUGAGAAGAAUAUACAUAGAGGAAAAGCUUAAAACAAUGAGAUUAAGAAAAAAAGACAUUUAAAGAUUGAAAAAGAUAGGGAAGAUUUUGAAUUAAAAAAAGUUAA